UACGUAGGGUGCGAGCGUUGUCCGGAUUUAUUGGGCGUAAAGAGCUCGUAGGCGGUUUGUCGCGUCGGCCGUGAAAUCUCCACGCUUAACGUGGAGCGUGCGGUCGAUACGGGCAGACUUGAGUUCGGUAGGGGAGACUGGAAUUCCUGGUGUAGCGGUGAAAUGCGCAGAUAUCAGGAAGAACACCUAUGGCGAAGGCAGCUCUCUGGGACGGUACUGACGCUGAGACGCGAAAGCGUGGGGAGCGAACAGG
rnacentral:rRNA from 1 species